rnacentral:rRNA from 1 species
CCUACGGGGGGCUGCAGUGGGGAAUAUUGGGCAAUGGGGGAAACCCUGACCCAGCAACGCCGCGUGAAGGAAGAAGGUUUUCGGAUCGUAAACUUCUAUCCUUGGUGAAGAUAAUGACGGUAGCCAAGAAGGAAGCCCCGGCUAACUACGUGCCAGCAGCCGCGGUAAUACGUAGGGGGCAAGCGUUGUCCGGAAUGAUUGGGCGUAAAGGGCGCGUAGGCGGCCUGGUAAGUCUGGAGUGAAAGUCCUGCUUUUAAGGUGGGAAUUGCUUUGGAUACUGUCGGGCUUGAGUGCAGGAGAGGUAAGCGGAAUUCCCGGUGUAGCGGUGAAAUGCGUAGAGAUCGGGAGGAACACCAGUGGCGAAGGCGGCUUACUGGACUGUAACUGACGCUGAGGCGCGAAAGUGUGGGGAGCAAACAGGAUUAGAUACCCCAGUAGUC